CGUGUACAGACUGUAAUAUGAUAAUAUACUUUCCAUAAUCUCUAUAUGGUAUCAGAGCAAACGCUCCUAACCAAAACCUAAAAAUUCUUUCACGCCUCCAUCACCAUGAGUUCUUCAAACACCACAAAUGAAGUCAUCUCCCUCAACAAUACCAACUCCUUGCUGAACAUCAACAUGUCCAACGUUACUAAACUCACAAGCACCAACUACUUGAUGU
rnacentral:lncRNA from 1 species